GAUCAGGUACAUAAAAUAGUUAAUUUUAUUUUUCAUAAUUUCAGAACUGAUUUAACCUCAUUGUUCAAUUAUUGUGCCACUUCAGGUUCUCACUAUACAUGCUGGGCUUUGCUCCUUCGUGCAGUGUGAAACUCACUGGCAGAGGAUGUUGCCACCUCAUAGUCUCUUUUGAAGCACAGACUAUCACAGCCUGUGAGACAUUCUCAGGUCUAGGUCACUUCAUAGUGGGUAUGAACCCAACAAUGACUCAUACUGGAUCAUCUCCAUCUAUGGCAGGUAUACAGAUACAACUCCCAGCAGGCCUGUCCAUCAUUGCAGUUGUCCUCCUGCUGUUGGGGGCUCUGUUCUUCGUGCUGCUGGUACUGUUAAUGGGGCAGCUGAUCCAGAACAGGAAGCUGAGGAAAGCCUUAGCAAAGGCACAGAUUUUCAGGGGGCAUGAAGCUGUUUAUGAGGAAAUAGAGUACAAACUGGCCAGAGAGGGAACCUACAGCAUCCCCAGGAUAGGUGAGUGGAGAGAGUCUUCAGACAUGAUUGGUCCCAGCAGAGGGUCUGUAUAACCCUUCAUAACAAAGACUGACAAAUACAGAAACA
rnacentral:lncRNA from 1 species